AGCAGCCGCGGUAAUUCCAGCUCCAAUAGCGUAUAUUAAAGUUGUUGCAGUUAAAAAGCUCGUAGUUGAAUUUCGGGACCAAUAUGUCGGUCGUGCCUCGGUACGUACUGGUGUCAUUGGUUUCUCCCUUCUGAGGAUCCUUGAUGUCAUUAAUUUGGUGUCUUGGGGAAUCAGGACUGUUACCUUGAAAAAAUUAGAGUGUUUAAAGCAGGCAUACGCUUGAAUACAUUAGCAUGGAAUAAUGAAAUAGGACGUUCGAUUCUAUUUUGUUGGUUUCUAGGAUCGACGUAAUGAUUAAUAGGGAUAGUUGGGGGCAUUAGUAUUCAAUUGUCAGAGGUGAAAUUCUUGGAUUUAUUGAAGACUAACUACUGCGAAAGCAUUUGCCAAGGAUGUUUUCAUUAAUCAAGAACGAAAGUUAGGGAUCGAAGACGAUCAGAUACCGUCGUAGUCUUAACCAUAAACUAUGCCGACUAGGGAUCGGGAUGAUUGUUAAUUUUUAAUGUACUCAUUCGGCGUCCUU
rnacentral:rRNA from 1 species